ensembl:lncRNA
UUGUCUGUACGUUUUUAUUAAACCUUUAGUACAAACUGCAAAUGUAAAAAAAAAAAAACUGGCAAUAUAACCAACAUGAAAUCUUUCCAAGUGGAAGGAAAGUUGGAGACGCAUCGCUAAUAAAUUAACUUGCCAGACCGACCGUGAGCAAUAGUUUAUACUGUAGAAAAAGAAAAUGCAAAAAAAAAAAAAUUCUGAAUAAAAUACAUUGUAAGGCCAUAAAAACUUGACAACCACUUUCUGUGGAAAACACCCAACUUGGUUUUCAUUAAAUACUCCUAAAACAAUUCAGUCUUCUGUAAAGGACAACAACCAACAAACUUGAUAAUAGGAUCACCUUGUCAGCCACCACUGGCAAGCUCAGUGCAACAUGAGCUACUACAUUGUUGAAUUUUCAGUAAUGAAAAUUUAAAACAAUUUUUUUUAUUAACAUAUUUUCCCUUUUCUUUAAAAAAGUAAAGCUAAAAAAUAAAAAUAAAAUAGGGGGCCAUUGCUACUCCAUAUCUUUCUCACUGAUGUAAGCAGCACUUAGAUGUAUACACGUAACCAGAGCAACCCUGUAAGCAUCAAACUCACACACAUGAAGAAACUGAAACGUAAGGCUUUUUCUUCAUCAAGCACUUCCUCCCUUGCUUCCGCUAAAACCUUUAGAGGCAUCAUUCCUUCCUUCACCCCAGAAAAGGCUCAAGUAUUUAAAGACAUUUACAGGAUUAUGUACAAAAGUUUGUUUUUGUGUUGGACUGUCUCCUAAAAUCAAACAUAAUACAUCUGAAAAAGGGAAAAUGCAAAAGCAAAAAAAACAACAUGGAUUUCCAUAUUUCACAUUUUACACCCUUUGACUAGUGGUUCUACACGCACAUCAGAACGCAUACACAAUAAAAAUAUAAAAUAAUAAUAAAAUAAGUCAUGUUUACUGGUACAGCUGAAACAAUAGGACUGGAAGAAUGGAAUGUUAACAUGAUUGCACAUCUAGAAAAGGAGAGCCUAGAACCCUAACCUAACCCUGUGGGAGAGGAGAGCCUAGAACCCUAACCCUGUGGGAGAGGAGAGCCUAGAACCCUAACCUAACCCUGUGGGAGAAGAGAGCCUAGAACCCUAACCUAACCCUGUGGGAGAAGAGAGCCUAGAACACUAACCUAACCCUGUGGGAGAAGAGAGCCUAGAACCCUAACCCUGUGGGAGAGAAGAGCCUAGAACCCUAACCUAACCCUGUGGGAGUGGAGAGCCUAGAACCCUAACCCUGUGGGAGUGGAGAGCCUAGAACCCUAACCUCACCCUGUGGGAGAAGAGAGCCUAGAACCCUAACCUCACCCUGUGGGAGAAGAGAGCUUAGAACCCUAACCUAACCCUGUGGGAGAAGAGAGCCUAGAACCCUAACCUAACCCUGUGGGAGAAGAGAGCCUAGAACCCUAACCUAACCCUGUG